AACGUAGGUACCGAGCGUUAUCCGGAUUUACUGGGCGUAAAGCGCGUUCAGGCGGUUUGGCAAGUCGGGUAUGAAAUCUCUCGGCUCAACCGGGAGAGGUUGUCCGAUACUUCCAGACUUGAGGGCAGUAGAGGGUGGUGGAAUUCCGGGUGUAGUGGUGAAAUGCGUAGAUAUCCGGAGGAACACCAGUGGCGAAAGCGGCCACCUGGACUGCACCUGACGCUGACACGCGAAAGCUAGGGGAGCGAACGGG
rnacentral:rRNA from 1 species